rnacentral:rRNA from 1 species
ACGUAGGGGGCAAGCGUUAUCCGGAAUUAUUGGGCGUAAAGAGUGCGUAGGUGGUUUUUUAAGCGUGAGGUGAAAGGCAAUAGCUUAACUAUUGUAAGCCUUGCGAACUGGAAGACUUGAGUGCAGGAGAGGAAAGUGGAAUUCCUAGUGUAGCGGUGAAAUGAGUAGAUAUGAGGAGGAAGACCAGUGGCGAAGGCGGCUUUCUGUACUAUAACUUACACUGAGGCGCGAGAGCGUGGGGAGCAAGCAG